rnacentral:rRNA from 1 species
AACGAACGCUGGCGGCAUGCCUAACACAUGCGAGUCGAACGAGACCUUCGGGUCUAGUGGCGCACGGGUGAGUAACGCGUGGGAACCUGCCCUUAGGUUCGGAAUAACUCCCCGAAAGGGGUGCUAAUACCGGAUAAUGUCUUCGGACCAAAGAUUUAUCGCCUUUGGAUGGGCCCGCGUUGGAUUAGCUAGUUGGUAGGGUAAAAGCCUACCAAGGCGACGAUCCAUAGCUGGUCUGAGAGGAUGAUCAGCCACACUGGGACUGAGACACGGCCCAGACUCCUACGGGAGGCAGCAGUGGGGAAUAUUGGACAAUGGGCGAAAGCCUGAUCCAGCAAUGCCGCGUGAGUGAUGAAGGCCUUAGGGUUGUAAAGCUCUUUUACCCGGGAUGAUAAUGACAGUACCGGGAGAAUAAGCUCCGGCUAACUCCGUG